UACAGAGGGUGCGAGCGUUAAUCGGAAUUACUGGGCGUAAAGGGUGCGUAGGUGGUGUCGUAAGUUAGAUGUGAAAGCCCUGGGCUUAACCUGGGAAUUGCGUUUGAUACUGCGUCGCUAGAGUAUUGUAGAGGAAAGUGGAAUUUCCGGUGUAGCGGUGAAAUGCGUAGAUAUCGGAAGGAACAUCAGUGGCGAAGGCGACUUUCUGGACAAAUACUGACACUGAGGCACGAAAGCGUGGGGAGCAAACAGG
rnacentral:rRNA from 1 species